UAUUUCGGGAUGAGGCUAAGAUGCUGGGACUUUAUAUGAGGGCAAUAGAGUUGCUGAAAGCUUGAGCAUUUGAGGUGGAAGGUGCAGAAGCAAAGGUAGAUAAGUUUAGUGUUGUAAGUGGCAUCACAUGUCUAUGUAUACUGUUUUUGAAUAAAUUGGGUCGAUGAACUUAAAUGUAAGUCCUUCCUAAUCUUACAGUACAUAUAACUUAGACUUAUGCAUAUGAAUCAUAUUCUUCACCUGGAUAUCAAGGUUUCAUUACACAUUUGUUCCUCUGUACGUGCUUGGCCAAUAUAGUAUGCAUUUUAUUUUUUUCAUUUGAAGUGGAUUAAUGGGCUGUGUAAUGUGCAUUUCUGGAUUGGUCAUAUUUGUUAUCCAUGCACCACAUUUCGAUAUCAGACAUUCAUUUUAUGUCAUAUUCCUUUUCCUCUCAUCUCUUCAGAUUUAAUCUUAUAUUUUAAGAAUUGGCCAAUUUGGGGUGAGUGCGUAGUAUUUACAUUUUCUUUUCUUGCUGUGCUUAUUACUUACCUACUUUAUUUGGUUAGAAUUUGUCGUUGCUUCUUUUAAGGGUAUCGAGCCUAGUGAAAUUCUUUUACAAUGCAAGGCUAAGAGUGGGAUUUUGAUUGAUAGUGUUAUUAGUGAAUCUGGAGUUUAUUAGUGAAAAGGUGAAGGGUUGGAGGCCUGAAAGGCUUUAUACUUCUAGCUUGUGUGUUUCAAAGGCCUGAGAUGGGUUCUCACUGUUACAUCCUCGAUUCUCUGAAGGAAUUAAGGCUG